ensembl:lncRNA
CUUCACCAGCAUUCCCAUAAGACACUACUACAGAAUGACAUUAUGGCAAAUACUGUGACUAUAUCAUAGGUCACAGUGCCUGCUGCCAUAGACCUGGUCCAUACUCUGUGCACACUUGACUGAUCCACAGGGUUUAGUAGAUGAGUUUCAGAUUACAUUCUGAAUAAUGACUUAUCAAUAGACCGCCUACACCUUUUGUCUGUGCCACCUGAAGGUAGACCAUUUAAUACCUCUGACAUAAUGGACUUAGUCUACUUCUCACUGCUCUGUGAACAGAUGUUCAGUGCCCCUGGAAUCCGACUUCCUUCUGUUCUAAGGGGGAAUCAGCGACCAACCAACCAGGACCACAUCCUGUGACUCCUGUCCACAUGAAGGUAUCGUGAGAAGAGGGUGUUUGAACAAAGGGAGGUCAAGGAGUACUGUUUAAAGUUCAAAGUUCAACUGUAUAGUGAGAAGUGAGCAAAUUAACGGUAACAGAUGCCUGGAUGUCUGGCCACUGUUUAUUCCGAAAGGACUCUUGCAUCCUUGUGUUUGGGAACGAUUGCAUUGUACCGGCAGAGAAACUCACAUUCGUUUUUCUUGGCAAUGACCCUAUAUUUCUACGGAAUUGGACUACUGUUUAGCCUUAGCAAUAACAAUGCAUUGUUCCCAGUAAACCUCAUUCCUACCUCAUGUUUUAUCUGAAAGUGAGGUCAUGCUGUACUGGUUGGAUAUUCAGAGGGAUUUAUAUAGACUACAGUGUUCUAUUUAUUGGUUUCAAAAAAA